rnacentral:rRNA from 1 species
CCGCGGCGCAUUAGCUAGUUGGUGAGGUAACGGCUCACCAAGGCAACGAUGCGUAGCCGACCUGAGAGGGUGAUCGGCCACACUGGGACUGAGACACGGCCCAGACUCCUACGGGAGGCAGCAGUAGGGAAUCUUCCGCAAUGGACGAAAGUCUGACGGAGCAACGCCGCGUGAGUGAUGAAGGUUUUCGGAUCGUAAAGCUCUGUUGUUAGGGAAGAACAAGUACCGUUCGAAUAGGGCGGUACCUUGACGGUACCUAACCAGAAAGCCACGGCUAACUACGUGCCAGCAGCCGCGGUAAUACGUAGGUGGCAAGCGUUGUCCGGAAUUAUUGGGCGUAAAGGGCUCGCAGGCGGUUUCUUAAGUCUGAUGUGAAAGCCCCCGGCUCAACCGGGGAGGGUCAUUGGAAACUGGGGAACUUGAGUGCAGAAGAGGAGAGUGGAAUUCCACGUGUAGCGGUGAAAUGCGUAGAGAUGUGGAGGAACACCAGUGGCGAAGGCGACUCUCUGGUCUGUAACUGACGCUGAGGAGCGAAAGCGUGAGGAGCGAACAGGAUUAGAUACCCUGGUAGUCCACGCCGUAAAACGAUGAGUGCUAAGUG